GAAAAUAUGCUAGGAUAACUAGGCAACCAGCAAAUUAAAGGUUGUUCUCUUGGCAAGUUAAAUAUCCCUCCAGUGGUAGCAGUCAAAAAUUUAGCUUUUGAAAAGAACAAAAAAAAGUGACAUUUACAGAAAGUUUAAAGAGCAGAGGACUCAGCCUUAAGGGUGGAAGACCAAUUAGGAGUCUUUGGAAAUAGUCCAGUUGCUGCCUAUGUACAAGUUCCCAGGAUGGAGAUAGACAGAAACAACAUACUUCUUACCCUCUGGCCUUGACACCUCUCCAUGACACCUCUAUGAAAGUCCAACCACAUCUACACAGGCCACAACCAGAUGGAAUGUCCCUCUUCACUCCAAUCCAGAAGAACGUAAUUUACAUGAAUAUCUUCACAUUUUUUCAAACUGAACUUUUACAUCAUCGGGUAUA